GGCGUCAGAACGAACGCUGGCGGCGUGCUUAACACAUGCAAGUCGAACGCGAAAGGGACUUCGGUCCUGAGUAAAGUGGCGCACGGGUGAGUAACGCGUAGAUAACCUGUCUUCAUGUCUGGAAUAAUACGCCGAAAGGGGUACUAAUACCGGAUAUUCUUGCUUUUCAUAAGUUAUGCAAGCAAAGGUGGCCUCUGCAUAUGCUACUGCAUGAAGAAGGGUCUGCGUACCAUUAGCUAGUAGGUGGGGUAAUGGCCUACCUAGGCGACGAUGGUUAGCGGGUCUGAGAGGAUGAUCCGCCACACUGGCACUGGAACACGGGCCAGACUCCUACGGGAGGCAGCAGUGAGGAAUAUUGCGCAAUGGGGGAAACCCUGACGCAGCGACGCCGCGUGAGUGAGGAAGGCCUUCGGGUCGUAAAGCUCUGUCAAGAGGAAAGAAGUGUACAAUGGCUAAUACCUGUUGUAUUUGACGGUACCUCUAAAGGAAGCACCGGCUAACUCCGUGCCAGCCGCCGC
rnacentral:rRNA from 1 species